rnacentral:rRNA from 1 species
GACGAACGCUGGCGGCGUGCUUAACACAUGCAAGUCGAGCGGUAAGGCCCUUUCGGGGGUACACGAGCGGCGAACGGGUGAGUAACACGUGGGUGACCUGCCCUCAGCUCUGGGAUAAGCCCGGGAAACUGGGUCUAAUACUGGAUAUGACUCCAUGACGCAUGUUGGUGGGGUAGGAAGCCUUGUGCGGCUGAGGAGUCGGGCCCGCGGCCUAUCAGUCUUGGUU